GUGCUCCCCCGCCAAUUCCUUUAGUUUCAAUCUUGCGAUCGUACUCCCCAGGCGGCAGACUUAACAGCUUCCCUGCGGCACUAGAACGGCACGUGGCCGUCCAAACACCUAGUCUGCAUCGUUUACAGCUGGGACUACCCGGGUAUCUAAUCCGGUUCGCUCCCCCAGCUUUCAUCCCUCACCGUCGGGCGCGUUCUAGCAGACAGCCUUCGCCACUGGUGGUCUUCCCGGGAUUAUAGGAUUUCACCCCUACCCCGGAAAUACCGUCUGCCUCUCUCGUCCCCUAGCCAAGCAGUAUCCCCCGCAAUCCAACGAUUAAUUCGGUGGAUUUAACAGGGGACUCACCUGGCCAGCUACGGAUGCUUUAGGCCCAAUAAACAUCCACACCACUCGGAGAGCUGGUAUUACCGCGGCGGCUGACACCAGACUUGCCCUCUCCUUAUUCCCCCAGCGUUCUAGACUGGGUAAAAGCCUUCCUCAGCGGAUGGCACUCGGGAUAGCCCUGUCAAGCUUUCGCUUAUUGCAAAGUUUUCGCGCCUGCUGCACCCCGU
rnacentral:rRNA from 1 species